rnacentral:rRNA from 1 species
GUGGGGAAUCUUAGACAAUGGGCGCAAGCCUGAUCUAGCCAUGCCGCGUGAGCGAUGAAGGCCUUAGGGUUGUAAAGCUCUUUCGUGGGGGAAGAUAAUGACUGUACCCCAAGAAGAAGCCCCGGCUAACUCCGUGCCAGCAGCCGCGGUAAUACGGAGGGGGCUAGCGUUGUUCGGAAUUACUGGGCGUAAAGCGCACGUAGGCGGACUGGAAAGUCAGGGGUGAAAUCCCGGGGCUCAACCCCGGAACUGCCUUUGAAACUCCCAGUCUUGAGUUCGAGAGAGGUGAGUGGAAUUCCGAGUGUAGAGGUGAAAUUCGUAGAUAUUCGGAGGAACACCAGUGGCGAAGGCGGCUCACUGGCUCGAUACUGACGCUGAGGUGCGAAAGCGUGGGGAGCAAACAGGAUUAGAAACCCCUGUAGUCC